rnacentral:rRNA from 1 species
UACAGAGGGUGCAAGCGUUGUUCGGAAUUAUUGGGCGUAAAGCGCGUGUAGGCGGCUUUGCAAGUCGGGUGUGAAAGCCCUCAGCUCAACUGAGGAAGUGCGCCCGAAACUGCAGAGCUUGAGUGCCGGAGAGGGUGGCGGAAUUCCCCAAGUAGAGGUGAAAUUCGUAGAUAUGGGGAGGAACACCGGUGGCGAAGGCGGCAUCCUGGACCGGCAUUGACGCUGAGGAGCGAAAGCCAGGGGAGCAAACGGG